GGGAGUCUAGUUGGUCGGACAGUUCCCUUUUAAGGAAGGUGUCAUUGGUUCGAAUCCAAUACGGCUCACCA
rnacentral:tRNA from 1 species